rnacentral:tRNA from 1 species
GGGCCGCUAGCUCAACGGUAGAGCAAGUGACUCUUAAUCACUAGGUUGAAGGUUCGAAUCCUUCGCGGCUCACCA